rnacentral:rRNA from 1 species
UACAGAGGGGGCAAGCGUUGUUCGGAAUUACUGGGCGUAAAGCGUGCGCAGGCGGUUGUGCAAGACAGAUGUGAAAUCCCCGGGCUCAACCUGGGAAUUGCAUUUGUGACUGCACGGCUAGAGUGUGUCAGAGGGGGUAGAAUUCCACGUGUAGCAGUGAAAUGCGUAGAGAUGUGGAGGAAUACCGAUGGCGAAGGCAGCCCCCUGGGAUAACACUGACGCUCAUGCACGAAAGCGUGGGGAGCAAACAGG